GGAUGCAGGCAGCCCCGCCAACACAAACAGAGGGCUGUUUGCAGCGGCCUCGCAGGAAGGUGGCCUGCCCUGACUUAGGGCUGAGCAGCUCAUCUGAAUCUCCUGGGCUUUCCCUUAUAAGAGCCUUGGGGCCCAGUACUCUGGAAGGGGUCUGGGAAAGGAUGCCCCCCUUUCUUCAGACCUUCAACUCAAACGCACCAUGGAGAUGGAUGUCUCAAGUGCACAGGGCACUUCGCCAACAGCAGCAUAAUUAAUACUCGGACUCCAAAUGCCCGCUCCUCUGAGGUCCCCACCCAUCAUCAGCCAGGUCUCCCAGCACUGCCUCAGGACCAGACAGGGGCAACCCUCCUGCCCUGGCAUCAUUCAGCACCUUCCAGAAAGGAAAAGGACCCUAACCAGAUGGGAACUCUGGGUGAAAGGGGAGGACACGCUCCCCCACCCCCGCCAGGGUCAUUCUGUUGCGUGUGGCUUGAGCUGUCCUCUGCUCUUUGACUUGGACCUCUGAAGAUGCUCCCUCCUUGGAGAGAAAACCUUUCUUGUGUUUUGACAUCAUCUAAUUCUCCCUACAACGGCCAGAGGUAGAUCAUUGCUGUCCCCAUUUUACAGCCUGGAAAACUAAGGCUGAGAAGGCUGAGCAACUUGCUCAAGGUCACUGAGAGCCAGCCAUGGGGCGGGGCCUGUACCCCACUGCCUCCAGAACCCUGUAAUUGUCAUCUUUCACUGGUGUUAUGUGGGAGGAAAAAGCCCCUGAAGGGACUGGUCAAGAGUUUGACGUCUAAGCUAUUUACAGGUUAAAAAAGAACAAGGACAGUUUGCGUUGAUGUAGCCCUGGAAAAUGAUAUCUCCCUUCGCGGUUGAGAACCCACGGCGGCAAAGCACCCGAUGGCUUGAUCCAGCUCUGGGACUUGGGGGCUUUGGGCUCUCAUUGGCUUGCUGGGUCCACGGGUGACGGCUGAGACACACAUGCGGCUCUGCCUAUCACUCAUCCAGGGUGUCCUCGGUCGAGCCUGCCUGGUGGUUGCUGACGUCACAGGGAGUCUUUCCCAGCAUCAGGGUCUUUUCCAAUGAGUCGGCUGUUCACAUAUGGUGGCCAAAGUUUUGGAGGAGAAAGGCAAAGGAGAAAAGGAAAGAUAUACCCAUCUGAAUGCAGACUUCCAAAGAAUAGCAAGGAGAGAUAAGAAUGCCUUCCUAAGUGAUCAGUGUAAAGAAAUAGAGGAAAACAAUAGGA
ensembl:lncRNA